AUUGAACGCUGGCGGCAGGCCUAACACAUGCAAGUCGAGCGCGAAAGCACUUCGGUGUGAGUAAAGCGGCGACGGGUGAGUAACGCGUAGGAAUCUACCUAGGUAUGGGGGACGAACUCGGGGAAACUCGAGCUAAUACCGCAUACGCCUACGGGGGAAAGCGGGGGACCUUCGGGCCUCGUGCUAUUAGAUGAGCCUGCGUAAGAUUAGCUUGUUGGUAGGGUAAUGGCCUACCAAGGCAACGAUCAGUAGCUGGUCUGAGAGGAUGAUCAGCCACACUGGGACUGAGACACGGCCCAGACUCCUACGGGAGGCAGCAGUNGGGGAAUAUUGGACAAUGGGGGCAACCCUGAUCCAGCAAUGCCGCGUGUGUGAAGAAGGCCCUUGGGUUGUAAAGCUCUUUCGUCGGGGAAGAAAAUGACUGUACCCGAAUAAGAAGGUCCGGCUAACUUCGUG
rnacentral:rRNA from 1 species